rnacentral:tRNA from 1 species
GUUCAUUUAGUAUAAAUAGUAUAUUUGAUUUCCAAUCAGAGGGUUUAAAAAUAAAUUAAAAUGAAUA